CGCAUAUUGUCUUUAAAAUAGAUCAAAUUUCUCGUUCACUAUUUCAAGUGGAAACGAUGAUACACCCCAUAUGGAAUACAUGAAUCCUUAUCACUUACUAAUAAAAUAUUAACAUAGGGUUACAGCAACAGAACGGCGAUAUUAUCUCUACAAUGUAUCAUUUACUAUUGCUGGUUGUUCUCUUUUCUAGUGUGGAAUACUGCAAAGCACAUUGCUGGCCAAUUCGGUUUUGGUUCCACACAAGGACAACGUUCAAGGGGCCGCCAAAUUCUGGAUGGCCGAUAUUCAAGAGGUGCAUAUUUGCUCAUGACGUCCAAAAAGAAUCUGAAGAUAUAAAGGACUACGUUGAUAUGUUUCAAUAAUGUAAUUUUUUGUAUGUAUGAUUGUGGUCUGAAAUUACGAUGGUAUUUUUUAAUAUUUGAUUUAAACCGUAUACCGCAAGUAAUACAUUAUGUUAUGCAUCGAA